AUAGAAUUUACUCCCCAGGUCUUUCUUACCCAGCAUCCCAUUUGCAUGCUCACAGUGAGUAGGAAUACUUCAUGCUUAGGUACAUAUGUAGGAUAAAGUUUUCGCAUGACCCUGCCUCUCUCUAUUCCCUUGAUCUUGGCUGCUGAAGCUGGUUUUGAGCCAGGACUAAAAUGAAAGAACACUAAAAAGAUGAAUAUGCAAAUGCAUACUCUUCUGCCAACAAUUUUAAAAACCAGCCAACUAAACCAAAGUCAAAACAGAAAUGAAGAAUAAAAUGAGAUGAGAAGUCAGUACAUCUACAUUCAAAUAGAAGAUUUCUUUGACAGUCAGUGUUAAUGAACUGAGGAGGCAAAUUUGGUAUCAGCCCAUGGGACUUUUCCUUCUAAAUUCCAAUCAAAUUAUAUGGAGCUAUGUGCUAGACUGAGAGUCCUCCCACAUGAAGGCAAUUUUUCAGCAAGCACUGACAAAAACAGGAAAAGAAAAAUGAAACAAGAAGAUAAAAUGAAUUUGAAACUCAAUGGAAGAAGAGCUCACAUUCUUUUUGGAAGAAAUAUAGGACUUGGCAGAAUUGUCUUCAAUCAUGUCCAGUGA
rnacentral:lncRNA from 1 species